CCAUAAACCGACCCAUCCAACCCGAGAAACCAACCGAACGGUUGAGUGCCAUCUUUUUGUAUAUGUAAUCAUAUGAAUAUAUGUAUCUGAGGCGCAAAUUAGAUAUCAAACGCCUUCUUGGCUGAGCGGUUGAGCACUUUCCCCUUGAACCUGAUGUCAAGGGUUCAUAUCUCCCUGCUUGCCAAAAUUUUCCCUAGGUUUUGUAUUUUAAUUUGGAACUUGAUCUAUCCCACAUCGAUGGUUGUAUGAAAGUUACGCAUGUUUCACUCUUAAUAUAAGGAAUGGAUACCUCUAUCUUGCCCCAUAUCAGUUUAAUUGGGAUUAACAUUGGGUUCGGGUUUAAACCCGGAACCGACCCAUGAAACCGAACCGACGGUUUGGGUUCAUGGUUCGGUUUUUAUUUUUUUGAAAACCGAUUUUAUUGGGUUGGGUUCGGUUUUAGGUCAAAACCGACCUAAACCGACCCAUGCUCACCCCUAGUUGGACUCACCUUAAUCAAGUUUGUUCUCAACAGCCUCCCCACCUAUUAUUAGUUCCUUUUUAAGGCACUUGUUGGUAUCAUUGAAGAUCUCGAUAAAUUAAGAAGAAGAUUUUAUGGGGAGAUGAGGAUACCAAAUCAGCUAUACAUUGGGUGUCAUGGUCAAGAGUUGUGGCAGCAAAAACUAAUGGGGGUCUGGGUGUUGGUAUAUUAAGGACCCAGUAUUUGGCAUUCUUGACAAAAUGGUGGUGGAAACUUAAAAACGGGGUUCUAAUAGCUUAUGAAAGACGUGCAUAAACUGCAUACACAAUUUUUUUUUCAAAAAAAAAAAAAAAAAAAAAGACAAUCAUAAGUAUUUCAAAGGAAAUGGCCAAUGGAACUUGGUGUAAUAUUGCAAAAGCAAGCCACCAUGACAUAUUUUCUAUAACUGCCAAUUCAAACACAAGUUUCUUGUUUUGGAAGGAUAGAUGUGUGGACCUCUUACACUCCAAAAACGUUUUCCAUGCCUUUAUGCUUUGGAACAAAAUAAAGUUUUGCUCGAUCUCAGACAGAUCACCACCACAGGCUUUACAUGGAAUUGGAAAACACAACAUAUGGUUGAUGAGAUGGCAAAUACACGGUGAGUACCUUAAAGAAGUUGCUAGAAUCAAAAGCCCCUAAACCACACUCUGAUGUGCAAAUCAAUUGGUCAAAGGUUAUCCCACUGAAAAUAAGAUGCUUUAUAUGGAGAGUCUUGAUGAAUAGAAUACCGGUGGCUGCAAACUUGGAAGUAAGGGGCAUAAAAGUAGAAACAGAUAUGUGCCCUCUAUGUAAUAAAGAGAAAGAGACAUGUGAUCACUUAUUGAUUAGAUAUGAAGUUGCUAUAGAGGCUAGGUCAUGGAUCUUCAAAUGGUGUGGCAUCCUUCUCACCACGUUCAAUAAGGUGACAGAUUUCAUCAGAUUUGUGAUAAGCUAGGGAACUUGUAAAUUUAAGAAGGAAAAGAUAAAUGUAGUAAUUUAUGGACUGUUAUGGUUCAUAUGAGUGGCAAGAAACAAUAAGGUUUUCAAACAAUUAAAUAUAAAUCUUGCAAAAAUUAAAGA